CGGCCAAUCAAGGUGUCGACUGUUACUGACCAGACAGGAAUGCAAGAAGGUGGGACCAAUGCUGGUGACUUCGAUGAUGAUGAAGGUGGUGGCUUGGCAUUGAAUGCAUGUUCUCGAGCUCUUCUGAUGCAGAAGUUGGAUCGCAGCGGCACUGCCUCGAGUAUUACUGGUUCACUAGGAACUCCUGCCAUCAGCACUGNNNNNNNNAACAGCACCAAUCCUUGGUGCUGCACCUGUAGUUUCUCCUGUUGUUGCUCCUCUUAUGUCAGG
rnacentral:misc_RNA from 1 species